UGCUAGCUCAGAGUUACCUCCCUUUGUUGGGUAGCCUCAGACUGAGCUGUUUCUUGAUCGUAGAUUUGCCACCUUUCUGAGUUGUGUAGUUGUUUCACUGCUGCCACCGGUUUCCACGCCCGUACAUAGAUGUGUACACUUGUUUGCUUUGCUUCUACAUAGAUCUCCCCUGGGAGGAAGAGGAACAGGAGUUGAUGACACCUAGUACAUGAACAUAGGUCUCACAUAGAGAACAACAUGGCUGGUUAGCUAGGUGUUCAUGAAAGUUGAUUAGGGAUUAACAUGGCUGGAUGUUUAAGGGAAUGUAGAUCUUUCGUGGGAGAAGAUGGAGGCCGGUAAGGUGUAGGUGAACAUAGAUCUCGUGAGAUAAGAUGGAGGGAUGGUUAGGUGUAGGUGAACAUAGAUUUCUUGUGGGGAGGCGAUGUAGGGAUGGUUAGGUGUAGGUGAACGUAGAUCUCUCGUGGGGAGGAGAUGGAGGGAUGGUUAGGUGUAGGUGAACGUAGAUCUCUUGUGGGGAGGAGAUGGAGGGAUGGUUAGGUGUAGGUGAACAUAGAUCUCUCGUGGGGAGGAGAUGGAGGGAUGGUUAGGUGUAGGUGAACAUAGAUCUCUUGUGGGGAGGAGAUGGAGGGAUGGUUAGGUGUAGGUGAACG